GCCACGCGCCCCUCCUUGUAAUCCGCACACCUCCAGCUGAGGGAACAAAACCGGGUCCAGCUAAUCCCGCGGGGUCCUGCCUUGAAGCUGUUGCACGGAUCCUGCGGCAGGAGCGGAGGGUUGAGCCACGAGGCACGUCUGGGUCCCCACGGUGAUGGGACAGAGGUGACCCCAUUGACCAGACACACAGGAUCCAUGGGGGAAAGCUCCUGCUGCCACGAGCCCCAGAGCUCUGAGCCCUGUAGGUGGGACAAGGAGGUGAAACCACUUCCCAGCCCAUAAAUGAUGCCAGGCUGCUGCAGUGAGAGUUGCAGGAUCAGGGGGAAGGGAAAACCCUCGUGCUCAGAGUACCCGAGGAGAAGGGAGAGGAGCUGUGCUGGAGUCUGGGCUGCUCAUGCAUUUCACAUACAGAGCCACUGGAUCAAACAAACAGCAAAGCCCCAGGAGAAAUCCCAGAGGCUCUUAAAUCCCAUAUUUCCUCAUUGCUAUGGAAGAAGCGUGCGCUGCGCGGGGAAAGGAGUCAAUUUGCUGAUAAAAACAGACUUGGAGCUGCCUCACUGGAACAAACAGGAGCAGAGAACAUCCGCCCUUGGGAUCUAAACUUGCUGUGCUGUUACAGACUGCACCCCAAUUAAAACCACAAAAAGCUGCCUUCCCCUUUCUCCAAAAUCCACUCCAGAAGACAAGAAGCUGUUCCUGAUAUACUGCAGUAAAAGCAAUCUGGUUGACUGUCUUUGGAGAGCUCUGCUCUCUCCAGAAGGAGGAAUCUCUCCCGCAUCCAUACACGCUCAUUCCUGC